UGUUCGAUUCUGGCUCAGGAUGAACGCUGGCGGCAUGCCUAAUACAUGCAAGUCGAACGGAGUGAAGCCUUCGGGUUUCAUUCAGUGGCGAACGGGUGAGUAAUACGCAGGGAACCUGGCCAUGGCAGGGGGAUACACUCUGGAAACGGAGCAUAAGACCCCAUAGGCAGUAAGGCGGCAUCGCCUUACUGUUAAAGAAAGCUGAAAGGCUUUGGCGAUGGAUGGACCUGCGGUGCAUUAGCUUGUUGGUGAGGCAACGGCUUACCAAGGCGAUGAUGCAUAGCCGGCCUGAGAGGGCGGACGGCCACACUGGGACUGAGACACGGCCCAGACUCCUGCGGGAGGCAGCAGUAGGGAAUUUUCGUCAAUGGGCGCAAGCCUGAACGAGCAAUGCUGCGUGAGUGAGGAAGGUCUUCGGACUGUAAAGCUCUGUUGCCGGGGAAAAAGGGGAAAUGCAGGAAAUGGCAUUUCAUGGAUGGUACCCGGCCAGAAAGCCACGGCUAACUACGUGCCAGCAGCCGCGGUAAUACGUAGGUGGCGAGCGUUAUCCGGAAUGAUCGGGCGUAAAGGGUGCGCAGGCGGUCUGUUAAGUCUGAAGGCAAAGGGAUGAGCUCAACUCAUUUAUGAUUCAGAAACUGGCAGACUUGAGGACAGGAGAGGGCGGUGGAACUCCAUGUGUAGCGGUAAAAUGCGCAGAGAUAUGGAAGAACACCAGUGGCGAAGGCGGCCGCCUGGCCUGUGACUGACGCUGAGGCACGAAAGCGUGGGGAGCAAAUAGGAUUAGAUACCCUAGUAGUCCACGCCGUAAACGAUGAGGAGCAGGUGUUGGGAGUGAAAUCUCAGUGCCGAAGCCAACGCAGUGACUCCUCCGCCUGGGGAGUAUGCACGCAAGUGUGAAACUCAAAGGAAUUGACGGGGGCCCGCACAAGCGGUGGAGUAUGUGGUUUAAUUCGAAGCAACGCGAAGAACCUUACCAGGUUUUGACAUCGGAUGCGAAGGCGCAGAGAUGCGCUGGAGGCUAUCAUCCAGACAGGUGGUGCAUGGUUGUCGUCAGCUCGUGUCGUGAGAUGUUCAGUUAAGUCUGGCAACGAGCGCAACCCCCGUGGUAUGUUACUAACGCAUUUGGGCGAGGACUCAUAUCAGACUGCCGGUGACAAACCGGAGGAAGGCGGGGAUGACGUCAAAUCAUCAUGCCCCUUAUGACCUGGGCUACACACGUACUACAAUGGCGUCUACAGAGGGAAGCGACCCUGAGAAGGGAAGCGAAACCGGAAAAGGGCGUCCCAGUUCGGAUUGAAGUCUGCAACCCGACUUCAUGAAGAUGGAAUCGCUAGUAAUCGCGGAUCAGCAUGCCGCGGUGAAUACGUUCCCGGGCCUUGUACACACCGCCCGUCAAACCAUGGAAGCCGGCAACGCCCGAAGCCGGUGGCAUAACCUUUUAGGAGUGAGCCGUCGAAGGCGGGGCCGAUGACUGGGGUUAAGUCGUAACAAGGUAUCC
rnacentral:rRNA from 1 species